GUGGCUGCACUCCUGACCGCAGGAAGGCCUGGCACAGCCCUGUUGAGUUGAAUGUGGUGCCUGGCUGACUGUCUCCAACUCCACGGGAAGGAAGGGCACUGCACGGCCUCCCCUCCCUCCAUCAACAACUGCCUCCACCCAGCCUUGUUCCCCCUUCUGUCCCUGACAUGCAGCUCCCAAAGUAUGACUUUUACAGCACUUUUUAUUAGGACAGGGGAUUUGUUGGCACUGCUAUAGCAGAGCAGGAGUCAUUACAACCUGGACAGAGCAUGGUUAAGUAAAUAAGGAAUGGAAUGCAUGGCACACCACCAUGAAGACAUUGGUGCCAGCUGCCCAGACACCAUCAAAAUCAAAUAAAAGCUCUGAUAAAGAUCUAGACCCUGGGUGCCACGGAGAAGGGAAUGCUCUGGUACAUUUUGUUCCUAUUGUCUUGAGGCCCCUUUCACUAAGAAGCUACAUUGUUCCAGGGGAUGAUUUGGUGAAACACUAGAAAACAGGAAGAGAUCCAGGUAUCCAGAAGGAGGUUGAGCCUGGACUGGUGAAACUUCUUGGUGGUCUUCACGGCGAUGAAGAUGUCACUGGCGCUGAUGUCCUCAGCUGGAGGCGCGUCUGUGGCGGACACCGAGGACUGCGCGGGCCUGUCCGCCUCUCUCCGCCCGCGGGUCAGUUUGGUAAAAUACGCGGAGAAUCCCUUCUUGACCUGCGCGUCCCCCUGCGCUCCGUCCGCAGCGACACUGUCCGGACCCUGGAGAGAGCGCGUCCCCGUGUCCUCCUCACCCGGCCCCCCAUUCACCUGAACCCGGUGAUGCUGCACCGCAACCAGGACCAACAGAAGGCAGAGAAAUGCUGUGCUGGCUAUAGAGAUAGUUAUCUUUUUCCCAUUAUUUUUCAACAUGAUUAAAUCUUAAAAAAUAAAAAAUAAAAAUAAAAAUCCUAAAAUCUAUGCUUUACGCGGCGGCGUAUUCGUACGCAAAGUCCAUACAGUAUAUUGUUUCUCAGUAGACCAUAAGAAGUUGUGUGGUAGUCCCAUCAGGGUGCACAGCUGAGAAGCAAA